GUGCCGGCACCCACCACUUGCCGUGGGACACCGGGAUUGAGUCGUACACGCGCCGCUCCUCCUUGGUCAUCAGGCCUGCCGGAAAGCAAAAUUCAGCCAUUGUGAGUCAUCUGUCACAUGAUUUGGAUCUCGGACUCGGGGAUGGUAUGGUGCCGACUCACCGUCGUCUCAGUGAAUUGUGCAUGACACGGAGUGGAUGUUCUCGCGGAUAAUGGAUAAUUAAGGACGCAAAGCUGGGUUCCGAGUAUGUGGACAACGGCGGCUAAUGCGAACUCCGCGACAAGGCUUACGCGCGAGAAUGGUGCUUGGGCUCAGUUCUUGGAAAUCAUCCGGACGGAAGAGACAUCGCCCGUAUUCUGCGGGACCUCGUGGUCGUCCAAUUAAAAUUGCACGCGCUCAUGAAGCUGUUCGGAGAAAGCUCGCGCUGGGCUCACAAAACACUCCAUUUCCCGCUACUGCACGCUAACGUAGAAAAUUGAAAGUUACGAAGAAAAAAAUAAUUCACAGCAUAUCCACGGGUGAAUGAUGAACAGCUUGGGCGAAGCUCCUGAAGCAAUCAUGGUUACACCGUGAAAUCUUCAGUGGUUUCGCCCAGCAGUAAUCAAAGCGAUAGCCCAGUACAUCAAAGACGUGACAAACACUGUAUAUAUUUAUACAAGAAAUUUUAUUAAUCGUAAGUGGUAGCUAGACGUGGCUUCCGUUCCCCCUUCAUUAUAACGGCUUUAUGGUCGGUGAAGUGAUGGAUCGGUGAUGGGUCGU